GACACAUUAGUGUCAGACACAGCAUUCAGGUGAAAUAGAAGAACAAGAACACAGGUUUCAUGCUUACAAAUACACCUUCUCAAAGAAGAGGUCAGAAAGUCGGACAUGGUGUGGCAUGAUGGCUGGCCUCUUUUCCAUGAUGUCUGCCCCAGCUGAUAACCAGAAUUAACCACCAGCUCUGUGAGUGAAUGAGCCUUCAGAUGAUUCCAUCCCCUUGAUGUUUUCCAUCUGAAGUUGCAAGACAACAUGAAGGUUCUUAGGAAGGUGAUGAGGAAAUUGAGAUACAGAAAGGUGAAGAAAUAAUGUCACAUAGCAGUGGAGUCAGA